rnacentral:rRNA from 1 species
GAUCCAGCAAUGCCGCGUGUGUGAAGAAGGCCUUCGGGUUGUAAAGCACUUUUGUCCGGAAAGAAAACCUCCGCCCUAAUAUGGUGGGGGGAUGACGGUACCGGAAGAAUAAGCACCGGCUAACUACGUGCCAGCAGCCGCGGUAAUACGUAGGGUGCAAGCGUUAAUCGGAAUUACUGGGCGUAAAGCGUGCGCAGGCGGUCCGCUAAGACAGAUGUGAAAUCCCCGGGCUUAACCUGGGAACUGCAUUUGUGACUGGCGGGCUAGAGUAUGGCAGAGGGGGGUAGAAUUCCACGUGUAGCAGUGAAAUGCGUAGAGAUGUGGAGGAAUACCGAUGGCGAAGGCAGCCCCCUGGGCCAAUACUGACGCUCAUGCACGAAAGCGUGGGGAGCAAACAGGAUUAGAUACCCUGGUAGUCCACGCCCUAAACGAUGUCAACUAGUUGUUGGGGAUUCAUUUCCUUAGUAACGUAGCUAACGCGUGAAGUUGACCGCCUGGGGAGUACGGUCGCAAGAUUAAAACUCAAAGGAAUUGACGGGGACCCGCACAAGCGGUGGAUGAUGUGGAUUAAUUCGAUGCAACGCGAAAAACCUUACCUACCCUUGACAUGUAUGGAA